rnacentral:rRNA from 1 species
AGCGAACGCUGGCGGCAGGCCUAACACAUGCAAGUCGAACGAAGCCUUCGGGCUUAGUGGCGGACGGGUGAGUAACACGUGGGAACGUACCUUUUGGUUCGGAACAACUCAGGGAAACUUGAGCUAAUACCGGAUGAGCCCUUAGGGGGAAAGAUUUAUCGCCGAAAGAGCGGCCCGCGUUAGAUUAGCUAGUUGGUGAGGUAAUGGCUCACCAAGGCUACGAUCUAUAGCUGGUCUGAGAGGAUGAUCAGCCACACUGGGACUGAGACACGGCCCAGACUCCUACGGGAGGCAGCAGUGGGGAAUCUUGCGCAAUGGGCGAAAGCCUGACGCUGCCAUGCCGCGUGAAUGAUGAAGGUCUUAGGAUUGUAAAAUUCUUUUACCAGGGACGAUAAUGACGGUACCUGGAGAAAAAGCCCCGGCUAACUUCGUGCCAGCCGCCGCUGUAACAC